rnacentral:rRNA from 1 species
CAGCCGCCGCGGUAACACGAGGGGGGCAAGCGUUGUUCGGAUUUAUUGGGCGUAAAGGGUGCGUAGGCGGUUUGGCAAGUCUUGUGUGAAAUCUUCGGGCUCAACCCGAAGCCUGCACGAGAAGCUACCGGGCUUGAGUAUUGGAGAGGUGAGUGGAAUUUCCGGUGUAGCGGUGAAAUGCGUAGAUAUCGGAAGGAACACCUGUGGCGAAAGCGGCUCACUGGACAAUAACUGACGCUGAUGCACGAAAGCUAGGGGAGCAAACAGGAUUAGAUACCCCCGUAGUCCCUGUCUCUUAUAA